CGGGAUGUAGCUCAGUCGGCAGAGCACUCGCUUCGGGAGCGAGGGGCCGCACGUUCGAGUCGUGCCAUCCCGA
rnacentral:tRNA from 1 species